rnacentral:rRNA from 1 species
AACGUAGGACGCAAGCGUUAUCCGGAGUUACUGGGCGUAAAGGGCGUGUAGGCGGCUUUUCAAGUUCGUCGUGAAAGACCCCGGCUAAACCGGGGGAGGUCGAGGGAGACUGAGAAGCUAGAGGGCGGUAGAGGGACAGGGAAUUCCGGGUGUAGUGGUGAAAUGCGUAGAGAUCCGGAGGAACACCAGUGGCGAAGGCGCUGUCCUGGGCCGCAACUGACGCUGAAACGCGAAAGCAUGGGGAGCGAACGGG